UGGGGAAUUUUGGACAAUGGGGGCAACCCUGAUCCAGCAAUGCCGCGUGUGUGAAGAAGGCCUUCGGGUUGUAAAGCACUUUUGUUCGGGAAGAAAUCGUUCUGGUUAAUACCUGGGGCGGAUGACGGUACCGGAAGAAUAAGCACCGGCUAACUACGUGCCAGCAGCCGCGGUAAUACGUAGGGUGCAAGCGUUAAUCGGAAUUACUGGGCGUAAAGCGUGCGCAGGCGGUUCGCUAAGACAGAUGUGAAAUCCCCGGGCUUAACCUGGGAACUGCAUUUGUGACUGGCGGGCUAGAGUAUGGCAGAGGGGGGUAGAAUUCCACGUGUAGCAGUGAAAUGCGUAGAGAUGUGGAGGAAUACCGAUGGCGAAGGCAGCCCCCUGGGCCAAUACUGACGCUCAUGCACGAAAGCGUGGGGAGCAAACA
rnacentral:rRNA from 1 species